UCACAAUAUUCCGCGUCGUUUGCAUUUGCAUCCCAUUGUCUCCAGGGCGAGUUCUCGCGACUCAUUUGCGAGGCAAUGAGUAACAGAGAUGUAACGGAGCGCGGCUCCCGGUCUGGAGCCUCACCUCUUGUGGGGAUGCAGCUCUGCUGAAGGCUGGCCCUCGGGUUCUGGGGAGGCCUGCAGGAAGCAGGUGUUUAUGACCCAAUGAACUAAACAAAAAGCCUCAUCCGCUGACAAUUAACUAAGGAGCAAGACCCAGCAGGAGGUGAGUGGCCCUGCUCCACCACAUGUCCCUUGCAGUGAUGUGCUGCCCCCCUACAGGCCGAAGGCAGUGGGGCCAGUGGAUCAAGCCUGACAAUGCAAGCUGCCUUCUGCUUCUCCGUGUCCUCAGUGUGGCCAGCAGGAGCUGGAAGAUACUUUCACCGCGCUCAUUUUUAGAGAUAAUGGCUCAGAGAAAUUCUGUCGCCUGCCCCAGGAUGAUUCCAGCCCUGUGACAUUACAUCUGGGCUUUUGACCUCCAUACCACGCGCUGCCUCUCCUGACUCAUGAAAUCGUAAGCAGGCCUAAGACACCUGAGGGACGCAGCAGAGGUGGAGCGUAUUUACUGACCUACGAGAGCCACCGACAAGCAGGUGGUGGUGGUGGGGACAUUGACAAAGGAAGUUGAGACAAGAGCCCCGUGGUGACAGAUUCCAAAGCAAAGAGAACAGGAGAACAGAGAGCCGAAAAGAGAAAGUCAAGCUUUCCCAAGAGGGCAUGGCGGUUACCACCGCUUCCGUUUCCUCUGGAAGCCAGGAUCAACAUUCUUGUCAAAUGAAAAGUACGCCAGUGGAAAUACCACUCUUUGACACCAUCCUGUUGCUAAGGGUUGUGUUGAAGAACAAAUGUGAUAAUGUACCUGAAAGCUUUUGGAAGAGCUUCAAGUGUUAUGUAAAUGAAAGGUGGUAAUUAAAAACCUCCAGAGAAGGGCAGCCUAUCUCAGUCAUCAAUUAUCAUGUUUUCUUCCUUGUCAGGAAACCUAUAUUUUUCAUGCUUCUUGGGGGUAUAGAUAGCUCUCUGCAAAUUUUUUUUUUUUGUUUGGGAAAUGUGUGAAGAAAAGGAUCAUCCUGACAGCUCAAAACCUAUUUAUGAUAAGAAAUCACCACAUAUAAAUUGACGAGACCAAAGGCAGAUGCAGUCUCAUGUGAAAUUGUGAAAAUUCAUACCUCCAUUUAUUGGUUUUUGUAUUUAGUUAUAAGGAGAUGGAAUAUUUAACUGGCAUAACACACACAAAGCUCAACUCUUUAAAUAAGAAAGUGGUAUAGAAAUUGACUUAUUACCUAGAAAAACAGAAAAAGACUUCUGGGGGGGAAAAAAAAAACAUGAAAAAUAGGAGCAUCAAUCAAAAGGCUUGGUAUGUUCCCAAACACUGGGAACUUGGAUAUGGGGACACACCUGGAAAAUCUGAACUCAUUCUUUGUGCACAUUAUAUUUUUGAUGAAAGUUAGUUAUAUUUCUGAAUGAAAAAACCAAAAUGGAAUUAGAAGGAGCAUAGCUCCUGAGAUAGCCGGAGGGCACAGUGGCUCCUCUUGGCUUUAGGAACACUUGGCCUGGAAUUCCAACUCUGCUGCUCAUAAGGAACUUCUGCUUCUACGGAGUCAUGGCAUAUGAACUACCCCGUGUCCUAGGCAUUGCGUGGCUGGACACUGAAUAACGACGUCUGAAUAAGACUGGUCAAUGUAACAUUUAUGUCUAACUGCCACAGAAUGUCUUCCUUGGGUGUGGAGCUGAGGGUCGAACCUAGGGCCUGGUGCGUGCUAGACAAGCCCACUACUACUGAGCCACAUCCCCAGGCUUAACUGCCGUGGACUUUCUAAACUUUCCUUCGGUCAUAUGACCUUUCAGCACAGAUAAAUAGGGACAUGUACCAUUUUUGAGCUUCAUCUUCUCAUUUUUCUUGCCAAAGAUGCUCACGGAAAGCAAAUGGGAUUGACUGGGUCGUUGAGAAGUUGAGUUGGAGAAAGGCAAGACAGUACCUGGAUGAUUAGCUCCAUCCAGGGAAGGAAAUCCAGAGCUCACCACUUGAAGCAUGCUCAGGAGUACAGAAUUUAAGCUCUGAGAUGACUGGGAAGGUUAAAUCUGUCGGGGACGGCACAACACUGACAUUCAACCACGUGGAGGUCCUUAAUUAGCUACCAGGAAUUGGUGUGUGCCACAAGGUGGAAAGGGAGUCAAACCUUUGACUCAGAGCUGUCCAGAACUUACCAACUUACAUGGAGAGCCUCAGUUCCAUAAUUUAUUUUCAGAUCUAAGCUGCAUGGUUAGAGAGCUUUAACCUAGCACAAUUGGCCCCUCGCUAAGCUUGUUUUUAGUGAUCUAGGUUCAGCAUCUUGUCAUUAGCCUCUAUUGAGGGAUGGUGAAAGAUGUGACCCUGUGGUUCUCUCUGUGGCAGGGACCCUGUCCUUCCCAGAGUGCUCCCUGACCAUGUGCUUGUGGCUCUCAAACCUCUCCUCUACACUGUGAGUAGAGAUGUUUUGGACACAGUUUAGUAUCACUUAAUGAAGAGGAGACUUUCUGAGACAUGCGUUGUUAGGCGAUCUUAUCAUUCUGUGAACUUCGUAGAGGUCACAAAGGUAUAGCCUACGUCACACACCUGAGCUAUAGGGUGCUGUGUAAAGAGUAAGCGCACGCACAUGUACACAUACCAGACAUACACACAUAUAAUGGUGUAUUCUGUUG